CCUUUGGAGAACAUUGUCCGGACUGCCUCCCAGGGCUUUUCUGCCUUUCUGCUCUCUCCUUUCAGUUUCUCCAAAGGAGAAAGACGGGAUCUGGCUGCUAGUGAAUGUGACCUGUCCCCCCACAUUUCUAUUGCACGCUACAGGAGAUGGAGGAAGAAGGAACAAAUAAACUAAAUCUGGGAAAUUGCAGUCAGCACUGCAAGGUCUAGUAAUACCAUUUAUGGAUCAGUGAAAGGAAGAAAGCAGUGGACUGACAACAGUAACAUGGAAGACAUCAUUUAUUUUCUUACCUACUGUAAAAGGUCUGAAUUCUGACUUGAUUUAGUUGAGCACAAAGCCAACGA